GUCGACGUAUUAUUAUAGCAUAUAAUACUUUAAGCCGCCAUUGGUAUCAGAAGAUGUAGCUGGAGUACAGGAUGACCGACCCAUAAGCUUCUGAAUAAAUCCACUUA
rnacentral:ncRNA from 1 species